rnacentral:rRNA from 1 species
CCUACGGGAGGCAGCAGUAGGGAAUUUUCGUCAAUGGGCGCAAGCCUGAACGAGCAAUGCCGCGUGAACGAGGACGGUCUUCGGAUCGUUAAGUUCUGUUGAAGGGGGAAAAGAGCGGAGAGAGGAAGUGCUUUCUGAUUGAUAUUACCCUUCGAGGACGUCUCGGCUAACUCCGUGCCAGCAGCCGCGGAAAUCCGUGGGUGGCGUGGGUUAUCCGGAAUGAUUGGGGGAAAAGGGUGCGUAGGCGGCCUGCUAAGUCUGGAGUGAAAGGUGCCGGCUAAACCGGUACAGGCGAUGGAAACUGGCGGGCUAGAGAGCAGGAGAGGUCGGUGGAACUCCAGGUGUAGCGGUAAAAUGCGUAGAUAUAUGGAAGAACACCAGUGGCGAAGGCGGCCGCCUGGCCUGUUACUGACGCUGAGGCACGAAAGCGUGGGGAGCAAAUAGGAUUAGAUACCCGAGUAGUC